AGGGACAGGAUAUACAGCCACCUAGAUGGGCAAGGGCUGUUUAGGGAUAGUCAGCAUGGUUUUGUACAUGGGAGGUCAUGUCUCACA